GAUGAAGUACGUAGCAAAAUGCGAUAAGUAAUGUGAAUUGCAGAAUUCAGUGAAUCAUCGAAUCUUUGAACGCACAUUGCGCCCGCCAGUAUUCUGGCGGGCAUGCCUGUUCGAGCGUCAUUUCAACCCUCAAGCACAGCUUGGUGUUGGGACUCGCGUUAAUUCGCGUUCCUCAAAUUGAUUGGCGGUCACGUCGAGCUUCCAUAGCGUAGUAGUAAAACCCUCGUUACUGGUAAUCGUCGCGGCCACGCCGUUAAACCCCAACUUCUGAAUGUUGACCUCGGAUCAGGUAGGAAUACCCGCUGAACUUAAGCAUAUCAAUAAGCGGAGGA
rnacentral:misc_RNA from 1 species